rnacentral:misc_RNA from 1 species
GAAAGAGCAAAAAUUAUCCUGGAUGAAGUUCAGGCCCUAUCUCUUUUUACCCGAGCACAGUGCCUGCGACAUAUUGGGGAGCAUUUCCAACCUGUUGUGAUCGGAAUGCAAAAUGAUAGUUACAAAACUGUUGCUGAUGCUGUGCUUAGAGACUACAUAUUUGUCCAUCUGGAUAACAAUCAUGAUAAAUUUAAUCUACUUAUCUUUAUGUUGCAGAAGCUUUUCUCUCUGAUAGAUCAGACAUCUGUCCUAGACAAUCCAGACUCUCUGCAAAAUCAAGAAGUUUUGCUGCCGGGUCACUUAAUUACCAUAUAUCUGAAGGAAAAGCUACAAGAUUGGCUACUUAAAUUACAACGGUCACUUCAAGAAGAAACUGAUGGUGAAAAAAAGAAGUUUGAGCUAAGUAGCUUGACAGACGUCAAGAAGGCUAUUGAAAAAAAUGCUCCCAAACAGAUUGGCUUGACUAUUGAGAGCAUGUUGAAGACUGGGAGAUUGGC